rnacentral:rRNA from 1 species
AUGAACGCUAGCUACAGGCUUAACACAUGCAAGUCGAGGGGCAGCAUGGACAUAGCUUGCUAUGUUGAUGGCGACCGGCGCACGGGUGCGUAACACGUAUCCAAUCUGCCCGUUACUCGGGGAUAGCCUUCUGAAAGGAAGAUUAAUACCCGAUGGCAUGUAUUUCCGGCAUCGGAGAUACAUUAAAGAUUUAUCGGUAACGGAUAGGGAUGCGUGACAUUAGGUAGAUGGCGGGGUAACGGCCCACCAUGCCCACGAUGUCUAGGGGUUCUGAGAGGAAGGUCCCCCACACUGGAACUGAGACACGGUCCAGACUCCUACGGGAGGCAGCAGUGAGGAAUAUUGGUCAAUGGCCGGAAGGCUGAACCAGCCAAGUAGCGUGAAGGAUGAAGGUUCUAUGGAUUGUAAACUUCUUUUAUAUAGGAAUAAAACCUCCCACGUGUGGGAGCUUGUAUGUACUAUAUGAAUAAGCAUCGGCUAACUCCGUG